AACGCGAAGAACCUUACCAGGGCUUGACAUGCACGGUGCAGCGCCGGAGACGGCGUGUCCUUUGGGGUCGUGCACAGGUGGUGCAUGGUUGUCGUCAGCUCGUGUCGUGAGAUGUUGGGUUAAGUCCCGCAACGAGCGCAACCCUCGUCCUGUAUUGCCAGCAACCGGCUUCGGUCGGGUUGGGGACUUGCGGGAGACUGCCGGGGUCAACUCGGAGGAAGGUGGGGACGACGUCAAAUCAUCAUGCCCCUUAUGUCCUGGGCUGCACGCAUGCUACAAUGGCCGGUACAGAGGGCUGCGAUGCCGUAAGGCGGGGCGAAUCCCUUAAAGCCGGUCUCAGUUCGGAUCGGGGUCUGCAACUCGACCCCGUGAAGUCGGAGUCGCUAGUAAUCGCAGAUCAGCAACGCUGCGGUGAAUACGUUCCCGGGCCUUGUACACACCGAGUAUA
rnacentral:rRNA from 1 species